GAUGAAGAACGUAGCGAAAUGCGAUAAGUAGUGUGAAUUGCAGAAUUCAGUGAAUCAUCGAAUCUUUGAACGCACAUUGCGCCCCUUGGUAUUCCGUGGGGCAUGCCUGUUCGAGCGUCAUUUACCCCCUCAAGCUCCGCUUGGUGUUGGGCGUCUGUCCCGCUUCGCGCGCGGACUCGCCCCAAAGGUAUUGGCAGCGGUCGUGCCAGCUUCUCGCGCAGCACAUUGCGCUUCUCGAGGCACCGGUGGGCCCGCGUCCAUCAAGCUCACCCCCCCAGUUUGACCUCGGAUCAGGUAGGGAUACCCGCUGAACUUAAGCAUAUCAAUAAGCGGAGGA
rnacentral:misc_RNA from 1 species